rnacentral:rRNA from 1 species
AGCUUGCUUCCUGGGUGACGAGCGGCGGACGGGUGAGUUAUGUCUGGSAAACUGCCUGAUGGAGGGGGAUAACUACUGGAAACGGUAUUUUAUACCGCAUAACGUCGCAAGACCAAAGAGGGGGACCUUCUUGCCUCUUGCCAUCCCUUGUGCCCAUUUGGGAUUAGCUAGUACGUGGGGUAAUGGCUCACCUACGCUACSAUCCCUAGCUGGUCUGAGAGGAUGACCAGCCACUCUGCAACUGAUUCACSGUCCAGACUCCUACAGGAGGCAGCAGUGGGGAAUAUUGAACAAUGGGCGCAAGCCUGAUGCAGCCAUGCCGCGUGUGUGAAGAAGGCCUUCGGGUUGUAAAGCACUUUCAGCGAGGAGGAAGGUGGUGAACUUAAUACUUUCAUCAAUUGACGUUACUCGCAGAAGAAGCACCGGCUAACUCCGUGCCACCCAGCCGCGGUAAUACGGAGGGUGCAAGCCUUAAUCCASA